rnacentral:rRNA from 1 species
AUUGAACGCUGGCGGCAUGCCUAACACAUGCAAGUCGAGCGGGGGUAGCAAUACCCUAGCGGCGAACGGGUGAGGAAUGCUUGGGAAUCUGCCUCGUAGUGGGGGAUAACGUUCCGAAAGGAACGCUAAUACCGCAUACGUCCUACGGGAGAAAGCGGGGGAUCGCAAGACCUCGCGCGAUUAGAUGAGCCGAUGUCCGAUUAGCUAGUUGGCGGGGUAAUGGCCCACCAAGGCGACGAUCGGUAGCUGGUCUGAGAGGAUGAUCAGCCACACUGGAACUGAGACACGGUCCAGACUCCUACGGGAGGCAGCAGUGGGGAAUAUUGGACAAUGGGCGCAAGCCUGAUCCAGCCAUGCCGCGUGGGUGAAGAAGGCCUCGGUUGUAAG